GUAACAUAUACAGACUCAUACACACAUGCCCAGAAACACACAAACUGCUUGUGAUACAUACAUUUGGUGCCAACAUAAACAGGGCCCUGGCCAAAAACUGUGUUGGUUAGCAACUGGCCAAUGAAGUGUUUAAAGUUAGAGGCCAACAGAAAAACCCAAACAGUGGUGUUUUUCCUAAACUUGAAAUCACCAGUCAGUAUUGCUUUUCCUCUGCAGAAUGGUUUUCUAAUAUCUUCACUCAGGAAAGAUCCUGUCUGCAAAGAGGCCCGUGACGGAUUUGCUAUUAGCUCCCUCAGCCCACGGCUGUCAACACCCUGCGAACACAUGGAGAGCAAUUGCUGUUCCCAGGCCAUGUGCAGAAACGGGUCCCCGAGGUUUUUCCUCUCGUAAAUCCAUUUAGUUUGAUAAGAUUGGGCUCAGUUUUGGCUGCACACAGACUAGAGUGUUCUGCAUGGUGAGAGCAAAGGACUGCUUGUGGGCAUUUCCAACUCCUAGUCCCAUAUAAUACAUCUCAGUGUGAAACUGACUGCUGCCAACACAGAGCUGACCAUCUGGAGCAUAAUGCACGGUACAAAGGAGGACAAAAUGUGUGCUUCUCUCUCAACACCUAUGUUUGAAGCUCGAUGUUGUCCUACCUCUGGCUUCUCACCAGUAACAUAGAUCAGGGCUGCCAAGGGAGAUCCACCUAUUUACUUCAAUGAGCCUCAUUGUAAAUGAUGCACCCUAUAUUCGAUGCAGUCUUAGCAAGGUUUGCUGUGGAAAAACCAGCAGAACAUAGAAGUGUAUAGUCAUGCCUCAACUACUGGAAAUGUUUGUGGAUCAUUCUGGAUAAGGAUUCAUCCUUUUUUGAAAUAGUGUGGUUGCUCAGUGAAAUAAAAAAGGCUGUGUUGGGCUCCUACCUCUGAAACACACUGGCUAUGUAGCUUCAGGCAAGUUACUUAAUUUCGCUGAAAAUACUUCCUCACCUAUAAAAUGGGGCUAGUGCUAUUCUACUUUCAGCUGCUAUGAGGAUUAAAAUACACCUGUUCUGGCAAGGAGUAGGCCCUCGACAAAUAAUUGCUUUCCUUUUUGGAAUAUAGGGAAUAUAAUUUGGCUUUAUCUCCAAGAUGCUAGUUUAUGUAAAUGGUACCCAUCAAGUCCUAGACUGUGUCUUAACACAGUGAAGUGCUCAGAGGUUACUGACUUAAGUGGGAUGCAAUUCACCCUUGCACUAAGCACUCCAGCCCACCUGUGUGGACCAGCUUGUGUGGCUCUACCUUGACACUUGGGGGGUUCUCAAGGGCUGCUGAGUCUGUGAUGGAUGGUUCCAGCCUGCUAGGUUGGUGUUUCAUCUCUGCCUCAGGCAUCACUCUUCCUCUCUGUGGGUGUUACUCCAGUUUGUAUCUUGCCUUCUCUACUCCUCUGUCCUCCAGGGAUACUCUCUGUUACCCUCAUAGCCUCUCUUCUUCUUUCUGAUUUUCUGUUUUCUCCUUUUGCCUCCUUUCCUCCAGUUUUCUCAGUGUCAGUCCCAGUGAGACUCAGCUCAUAUCACUGCUAACUAUUCCAGUCAGGGGCCCAGUGGGAAACGGAUGGCACACUCAGAUGCGAAGAACUUUUACAACGUGUGGGCAGAAUGUACCACACAAGGGAUGGUGCUGUACCCUGGGUCUAAAAACAAGGGAGCUGUUACCAACUGUAGGCCCAAAAGGGGAAGGGAGGGAAUGGUUUCUAGAACCUGGAAGGAGAGUGUCAUAGAGAGAGACCCCACUGGAGAGGGGCAUAACCCCAGUUGAGAGAAGCAGGAGGAUAAGUCCGCAAACCUUCUCUCCUCCCUCCCUUCCUUAUCCUGCAAGGAUUUCCCAUUGGACAAACCCAACAAACCCAAAGAGCAAGGCUUCCAGACCACACAGUGGGGUGAAGAGGGUAAGAGUGUUUACAAGGGCGCAGGAACCCAAGAGAACUUGCCUUCUUCUGACCAUGAACCCAGCAGUCACACAUCUUCAAUCUUUUACAGCAGCACUUAAUUCUCCUUUGGGUUUGGCCUCACCAUCAUUCUAGAUAGCUAGAAGUCUUUGGUGUGGGGGAGGGGGUGUGAUAAUUGGGGUGUGGCCGUCAUUUUAUGCGGACUUACAGGUUAAAUUGUGUUUUCAAUCCUCAUUCCAUUUUGCUUCCUUUCUUUAAUUUACUAUGGCCUGCUCUACAUUUUAUGGAGCUAUUUUAAGCAUACACAGGAGAUCUUCUUGCCAUACACAGGGAACAAUCAAUGUUCUCACUUAAUAAUUCAUUCUUUCAUUAAAUGCCCCAAGUAAUUAAAUAAAACAUGAAUAAAUUCCACACUGAUAUUUGCUAAAGUUUUGUUUCCAGAGAAUUUUACCUGUUGGAAGAUAUGCUGGGACCAUUAUUCGUUCUGAUGAGCAAUAAAACAUGGAAACCUUCAAAGUCUAUAGUCACAUAGUACUACUUUCAUUCUCGUAUUCAGUAAGUGCCUAAUAAGCACUACAUAUUUUAUAGACAUCACUUCCAGUAUUGAAGUAGCCCUGUGAAGUUUUAAAGAAACUGAGGCUCAGAGAAGGUCAGUGUCUUGCCCACAGUCAGCUCGGGCAGAACUAGACACCUGAUUCAUCUGGCACCACCUGUUCUUUCUAGUAUUCCCCACCACUCCGUCUUUCUAACAUUUCUAUGGGGAAGUAUGUGAUACAGAAAAAAUAUCCUAAUAACUCACAGAGUUUUCCAAAUUUCAACGCAUGCACACAUGUGUGUGUGAGAGAGAGAGAGGGAAAGAGAGCCAAGUGUGGAUUUCAGAAGCUUGGGAGACCGCCUCUGAGAAAAGUUCUAAAAGAAUGAGAGUGAAGAAGGAGAGAGAACUGGCAAAAAUUAGAAUCUUCUGUUCUUACCUCAUUCCCCUGAGCAUCCUUCCCAAAAGAAGUUCAGCCAGCCUUUUUCCAUGGGCCCGAAUAUUUACCUAAGUUCUCCAGAGAAGCCGACUCGCACGGAAGGCGCUGUGUCCUGGCCCUGCUAUGAGUCUUUGAGAGACACAAAUGCUCCUGAAGGGCUUUCCCAUCAGUGCUGGGGUCACACUCCUUUCUAAUAAUUUGUUCCUUUGAUGACCUCCCUGUUAGCAUGUUCUGAUUGUUUCACGUCAUCACACAAUAAAUAUACUUCUUUGCUUUCACAUUAGUUUUGGAGAAGGUGUGGAUUGAUACUAAGUCUCCUGAAAGUGCUCUGAAUGUUAGGCAGGAAACCCACUUCCAUAUACAUCCCACCACUCCCCCACCCCCAUCCCAAAGAGCUCCCCUUCCUACCUGUCCCUUUUGGAAUAACGGCUCUAUCAGUCCAUUUGUGGGCUCAGCAACCCUUGACUCCUGCCCUCCCCUCACAUCCACAUCAAAGCAGUCAUCAAGUCCUGUUGGAUCUGUGCCGUGAAUCUCUUCCUCCUUCUUUCUUGCAAUGGCUGCUGUAGUUUAAGCCCUUAUCCUCUGUCUUUUGACACGCAAUGAGUACUCCAUGAAGAUUUUUUGAAUGACUGAAUGAAUGAACCAUUUUGAGAAUGAUUCUCCUAAUUAUCUCUCCACUUCCUCUCCAUGUUCCACUGAGCCACUGGUGUUGACUCUGUAAUAUUUAGAUUUGAUCAUUUCACUUCCUUCUUUAAGCUAUCUCCUAAUGUUUGCUGAUAGCCUAAGAGAAUAUUCCAAAUACUUGAACACGACACAACAGAGGCCCCACCCUCCUUUCUAGGUUCUUCCUCCAGCCUACCAGGCACCCUUUAUUCAUUUAUGCCUCCCUACCUUGGCUCCUCUCCACCCACAAUGCUUAUCACCCUACUUCUUACCAUACCUCCUUCAUUAGCAUGAGUCCAUGCUCUUAACCACUACACUGUGAAGAAAAAGAACUCAUUGGCCCAGACUGGCUCUCCAGUUAGCUUUGGCUAGGGGAACAAAGCCGCUUAUUAUACACAUGGCCAGCGAGUAGCACUCAUUUAUGGGGGUGGGCGUAGAAGGGUGAACCAUUAUUAACCAGACAGUCAUGUCAAAUUAUCUAUUUCCUAUAUUGCUGUAGGACCAUAGAGAAGACAGGCUCUAUGUCCACGAGCUAGUGUGGCACACAAGACCCAAGCAUCCCAGAGACCCAUCUGCCAACCAGGAGAGGCUGAGGCAGGGGACUCACUCAUUAUUUUGUAUAGCUAACAUGGUUGUCUUGUCAUUCACAAUAUAAAGAGACAUAAUCCUUUGCUAGUUCUUUCUGGCUCUUGAUAACUCAGCCUUAAAUUAUUAUGCACAUCCCUAAAGGAAGGAGCAAAGUUUUAAAAAGGGAAAUGGUGGACAACAUCAGAGAGAGGAAGGGCACAGAAAUCAGUGCACUUGCAAACUGGCUAUUCUUUUCUUCUCCUUUCUUCACUGGAACCCCACAUUGGGAUGCAUGUGAGAUCAGAGUAGAUUAGAAUAUUUCAAAUGUCCUUGUCUUCAAAAGAGAUGUUAGUGGCACUAUAUUAAUGAAUCGGAUAGAAAUGGAGUUGGUCUGUGCAGGGGGACUGAGAGCACUGCAUGGCCUGCCCAAAUACCCCUCCAUGGUGGCCUGGGAAGCGCCAGGCUGGAGCACAGUUGGAAAGCCCCUGGAAAAGACCAGUCUCAGGCAGGUCUGCCCACCAGAGAGGACUGAAUCUCAACCAGGUCAGGCAAAGGACCAGCCAGGGAGGGCACAGGAGGUCUCAUUACAAGCUCGGGUUGAGUUUUCUAUAUUAGCUUUUCAUCAAAGAAUUUUCACAAAGCUGUUUUU